CCCUGAUUGCGAGCGCCUCGUUAAGUCGCUGCACCUGGAGUUCGCUCUGUCCGAUUGUAGCGAAGCGCCGCCGCUCUGCGCUGCUCUGAUCAGAAGCGCGAGGCUUCAUCUCGAGGUCGGGCACGCGGCGGGGGCUGCAGUCGGGUGCUCCCUCAAGCUCAGGGUUGCGUCCCCCCAACGGCUCCGCGGCCGCGUUCCGCUCCCCGCAGCGCUCUGCCGGUGUCCGGGGUGUCCGUUCCUCUCAGCCGUCGCUCUCCGGUUGAUAUACGAGAGCAGAGAGGCCAUUCUGUAGGCAAGUUUGUACUAGAACCACUAGGGGAGGGAAAUCAUAAUACGGCUGAACAGACCUUCAUUUAGACAGUGGAUUUCUGGAAUCACAAAGCUUCAUCAGAAAUAUUGUGCAGCUUUUAAACUGCAGCAAGAAUUAUGACGUUCUUCCUAGUUGACUGUGGGAGCAUGCAGAGCUAUCCCCGAAGGAAGGCAGUAAGUAUUUCACGUAAAAAGAAGAUAUGUGCACUAAUAGAUGCUGGUGGUGCAGUGCCUUAGCAUUUCCCUGAGAGGGCAUCUCAGAAAGGAAUGGACUUGGAUGUGUUCAGGAGGAAGAGAACACAGCAGGUGUACUUGGUUUUGGAUUCUGAUGAGUCCUCCAAGAGAUCUGCAAUUAAAGCCCUUGUGUAAAUCCUACAUGAGUAAGGGUCUGAGGGAGCAGGGGCUAAAUGCUUCUUAAUGAACUGGGACGAAGCAUUCUAUGAAGUACUGAGGAGAUCCAAAAUAACCAUUUCUCGAGUAACAACAUCAAAGUUGUUCCAGCCUGAAAAGACAGACCAAUAUUCAGGUUGGACUUGAAAGAAGGCCCUGUCCUGCCCUCAUCUUGACGUUGUUUGCAUGCUGCUCAGCUUACUCAUGACCAUUCUGUCAGCAUGGUAAGAAACCCUGCCC